GUAGCAUUACGGUCUCGUCACGAUAAGAUAAUGCCAGGGACAAACAUAUACGUGGUUGACACAUUAGGUGAAUUACAAAAGUUUUACAGACUAACACCAAUUGCUGUGAUUGGAGGUUCAUUUCUACCAGGUUCAGCUGGUCAUAAUAUUUCAGAAGCCGCUGCAGCAGGCUGUGCUAUUUUAACAGGUCCUUAUAUCGGUCAUUUCUCUCAUAUGGCAACACAGAUGCAACGCUUGAAUCCUCUGUCAGUAUUACAGGUUUCUGGAUAUAUUCUUGUUGAAGCUCUCAGCAACCUUCUUAGUGAUGCAAAACUUUUGGAAGAACGCCAAGAAGCUGCUAAGCAAGCUUAUCAUUCUCUGUCUUGUGGGAUCACUGAAAAUGUUUGGAGCUUUUUAGACUUCCACAUUUUUCGGGUUGCACUGGCAAACAAA
rnacentral:misc_RNA from 1 species